rnacentral:rRNA from 1 species
GACGAACGCUGGCGGCGUGCUUAACACAUGCAAGUCGAACGGAAAGGCUCCAGCUUGCUGGAGUACUCGAGUGGCGAACGGGUGAGUAACACGUGGGUGAUCUGCCCUGCACUUCGGGAUAAGCCUGGGAAACUGGGUCUAAUACCGGAUAGGACCGCACUUUGGUGUGUGUGGUGGAAAGGUUUUUCUGGUGUGGGAUGAGCUCGCGGCCUAUCAGUUUGUUGGUGGGGUAAUGGCCUACCAAGACGGCGACGGGUAGCCGGCCUGAGAGGGUGGACGGUCACAUUGGGACUGAGAUACGGCCCAGACGCCUACGGGAGGAAGCAGUGGGGAAUAUUGCACAAUGGGGGAAACCCUGAUGCAGCGACGCCGCGUGGGGGAUGAAGGCCUUCGGGUUGUAAACUCCUUUCGCUAGGGACGAAGCUUUUUGUGACGGUACCUGGAGAAGAAGCACCGGCUAACUACGUG